UACAGAGGUCUCAAGCGUUUGUUCGGAUUCAUUGGGCGUAAAGGGUGCGUAGGUGGCGCUGUAAGUCAGGUGUGAAAUUUCGGAGCUUAACUCCGAAACUGCAUUUGAUACUGCGGUGCUUGAGGACUGGAGAGGAGAUUGGAAUUCACGGUGUAGCAGUGAAAUGCGUAGAAUAUCGUGAGGAAGACCAGUGGCGAAGGCGGAUCUCUGGACAGUUCCUGACACUGGAGGCA
rnacentral:rRNA from 1 species